rnacentral:lncRNA from 1 species
UGGCCGGCGGGUGACGAAUGGCGCCAUCGAUGGGCGUUGCAUCCUCCCGUCCGAUGCGGGGAAGCGGAAGUAGGAUUGGCAGCACGUUGGUCUGUCGUGGGUGUUGCUUGAGGUGCCCAUCGUCCCCCUGCCGGUGGCAUGGUCUGUGUGUGGCCUAUCGUCGGUGGUGUGCUCUCGCUGUUGGCUCUCAAUGGCCUGUGUGUGGACUGUGGGGAUGAUGUUGGGCUGGGAGAAAUCCCGUGCUGUUGCGGACAACGGCGACGCUCCCCGGCGCCGUCACCUUCUUGAAGGCGUCGUUUAGGCCCUUAUCACCCCCCACCUGUGCAACGGGGGAAACCCCAGAUCCAUCUUGCUGGUUCAGGCAGUGGCGGUGCUUUGGCGUCGUUACCUUCUUGGAGGCACUGUUCGGGUUGCUGGAGUCCUACGACAGUGCUUGCUGCUAGGGUUGGCCUCCACUUGGAGCGUGGGCCCCUAGGGCGCAAUGUACACUGAUGCGGCAUCUCUUCCACGACGCUCUCCUCGGGUCCAGUCGGGUCCUGCUGUCCACUCGCCACUCUCCUCUCGGCGUAAGGGUGGGCUGUACGUUGACACGUGCUUGCCUUGAGUUUGGGUUGUACUUCGAGUUGUUUGCUUCGGUUGUGGCUCGGUUGUGAAGCGGUCUUGUGGCUCUGUGUCCUGACGUCUCGCCAUCUUGGCAGGGGUAGGCAAGGCGUGCCCUUGUUGUUGUGCGUGUGGUUGUACGUUGUAAGCCGAUUGGCAUCACUUGUACGAUUUUUUGGUCUGGUUUCCCUCAUAAACUGGAUCAACCUUCUAUCUAUUCAAUGAAUUUAGCAGUGAUCCUGCUAACAUUCAAAAAAAAAUGAUAUGGACGUUUUCUUGGUCGUCGUACGGACAUGGUCUCAACUCGCAACUGUAUACAUCUAGGCAUCUAGCUGGUCUCAUACAGAAGUUUCAGGCUUGCUCUGUUUCUCAAAAGCAAAAUGCAGAGGCCGGGGGUACAACUAGGGGUGCAGGGCGGCGCCCGAUCCGCCCCGCUUCGUACGCAAAAUAUGUUUCGGUUAGUUAUAAGUACUCCUUUCAGAUUUAGUUCAAUUUGAACUAAUCCUCUAUUUAUGCGGGACUAUGCGGGAUGCCUGCUUGCAUCCCUAGGUACAACCUUCUUUUUGUAAGAAUAAGAAAGUUGUGCUUUUAGAAUCUGAAGAAGAUUGUUUUUUGUGCGUGUGUGCAAGAGAGGCUGAAGAAGAUUGAAUUG